ACGGCAGUAGCUUAAUUGGUUAAAGCGUUCUGAUAUAUCAUCAGAAAGAUGCAGGUUCGAAUCCUGUUUGUUUUA
rnacentral:tRNA from 1 species